AUGUGUCAGGGUAGUGCAGGAUUACUCUCAGGGGUUGGUUGGUGAGGACCACGAUAGCGUGUGCCUGAAAGUAUGGACGGAGCCACUGCGCCGAAAUGACCAGAGCAAAUAUCAUUUUUUUUGCCUUCGAGUAUCGGGUCUCGACUUCGUGAAGCACUUUGCUGAUGUAAUAUAUCGGUUGGUGAACUCGGUUUUCGUUCUCUCGGACGAGCACC
rnacentral:lncRNA from 1 species